AUUCCAGCUCCAAUAGCGUAUAUUAAAGUUGUUGCAGUUAAAAAGCUCGUAGUUGAACUUCUGGCUAUUCUUCCAGCUGGCUUCGGUCGCUGUAAGAGUGGUCAUCCGCUUGGGAACUACGUUCGAACUUCACUGUUCGGCGUAAGGAACAGGCAUUUUACUUAGAAAAAAUUAGAGUGUUCAAGGCAGGCUAUCGCCCUGAAUACACAAGCUUGGAAUAAUGAAAUAGGACUAUUUCCAUUUUAUUGGUUAUUGGAAUUAGUAAUGAUUAAUAGGGACAGUUGGGGACAUUAGUAUUUAAUUGUCAGAGGUGGAACUCUUGGAUUUAUUAAAGACGAACUAGUGCGAAAGCAUUUGCCAAGGAUGUUUUCAUUA
rnacentral:rRNA from 1 species